CCAAUAGCGUAUAUUAAAGUUGUUGCAGUUAAAAAGCUCGUAGUUGAAUUUUGGGUCUGGCCGGGCGGUCCGCCCUCUGGGUGAGCACUGUUCCGACGUCGGGCCUAUCCUUCUGGUGAGUCGGCAUGUCCUUUAUUGGGUGUGUCGGGGAACCAGGACCAUUACCUUGAAAAAAUUAGAGUGUUCAAAGCAGGCGUAUGCUCGGAUACAUUAGCAUGGAAUAAUGAAAUAGGACGCGUGGUGCUAUUUUGUUGGUUUCUAGAACCGCCGUAAUGAUUAAUAGGGAUAGUUGGGGGCAUUAGUAUUCAAUUGUCAGAGGUGAAAUUCUUGGAUUUAUUGAAGACUAACUUCUGCGAAAGCAUUUGCCAAGGAUGUUUUCAUUAAUCAAGAACGAAAGUUAGGGGAUCGAAGACGAUCAGAUACCGUCGUAGUCUUAACCAUAAACUAUGCCGACUAGGAAUCGGGCGAUGUUAUUCUCAUGACUCGCCCGGCGCCUUAUG
rnacentral:ncRNA from 2 species